UACCAAUGGAGUCGCAUGAAAAAAAUACCAGCACUUUCAUUCAAUCAUUUUCCAAGCCCUAAAGGGAACGAGCAAGCUGCAGUACCUCAAGAAUCAGAUUUUGCAAAUUCAAGCUUCUCCUCUUUCUUCAGUUACUGGCAAAAAGCACCCUUUAGGUACAUAUAAAAGCACUAAAGCCUUGCUUUAAAACAAAGCACUGCUGUGUAACGAAUGAGCCUGAAUCAUACACGCUUAUCACAAGCCCAGCAGUUAGCACUGAGCCAACAGCUAGAAACACUGCUACCACACUCAUGCUUCUCAGUUCUAGCCAGUUGCUCUGUUUAAAAUGAAAGUAAUAGGCUACCAGUUCCCCAACCAGUAUUUGUAUCGCUAUUAUAAAUGGUUAUCUGUUAUCAGCAGAGAAGAGUCGAUACUUAAUGCAGUAGCUAAAGUCCAGCUCUCACGGUUUCAUGGCUGAGGGGAGAGGAGGGAGAGGGAUGCUAAGGAGCAGGACUCGGACCACAGAUCCUUCCCACCAGGAAGCACAGCACCAACGAGCAGCCAACCAGCUCAUUUAUCAAAGAGCAGAAGGAUCUUUCAGGGCAACAGGAGUGGAAUGGCCUUUCCUAGGAAUACCUUUGCAUUGCAGAUCUUACCACCUCCUUCCAUACACGCACAAUUUAUUUAUUUGACCUGCCCGUUCCAAAAAGAGCUAUGCUCAACAAACAAGACCUAUGAAGAAACCACAGUGGCCUCGACUCUUUCUCCAGUUACUUUCCUCUGAUAGCACACAGGUGCAAACCAUAUGACAGAGCAGGCCAAGUGGAAUGAUGGCAGUUCCUAUAUCCCUGGAAGCUCCUUAAAACACAGGAUUCAGGCUCUGCUGUCAUCAUGAGAGUCAAUGAAAUCUUCAACUUGAGAAGUCCUUUUUGAUUCUUCAAAGAAUACAGAGACACGUACUGGCACAACAACGUGUUAGCGAGCCGUCUUAAGCGAGCGUUUAUACUAAGGAGUAUAAUGCUGAAAAACUCUCACUACGCCAGGAAGAGGAAUGAAAAUACGUAAGCACAAAAAUCAACACCCUAGAAAAGCUUGGAAGCGCUCAGGUCUCCGGAGGAGAUUUCAUCUAGAACCUCUGCAGCAACUGAGUUACUGCACCUUCCGCUCCAGCUCCAUUAGUCCACGCACUUGCAAAAAAGUUGUCCGCUGCUUCACUGAAAGGUUUACAUUAAGAGAGAAGUCUGGUGCCCAGGAGAAAUGUCCUAGAUGUUUU